CCUACGGGUGGCAGCAGUGGGGAAUAUUGGACAAUGGGCGAAAGCCUGAUCCAGCCAUGCCGCGUGUGUGAAGAAGGCCUUCGGGUUGUAAAGCACUUUCAGUGGGGAAGAAAGCCUUGGGGCUAAUACCCUCGAGGAAGGACAUCACCCACAGAAGAAGCACCGGCUAACUCCGUGCCAGCAGCCGCGGUAAUACGGAGGGUGCGAGCGUUAAUCGGAAUUACUGGGCGUAAAGCGCGCGUAGGCGGUCUGAUAAGCCGGUUGUGAAAGCCCCGGGCUCAACCUGGGAACGGCAUCCGGAACUGUCAGGCUAGAGUGCAGGAGAGGAAGGUAGAAUUCCCGGUGUAGCGAUGAAAUGCGUAGAGAUCGGGAGGAAUACCAGUGGCGAAGGCGGUCUUCUGGACUGACACUGACGCUGAGGUGCGAAAGCGUGGGUAGCAAACAGGAUUAGAUACCCGAGUAGUC
rnacentral:rRNA from 1 species